rnacentral:rRNA from 1 species
AUACGUAGGGGGCGAGCGUUGUCCGGAAUGAUUGGGCGUAAAGGGCGCGUAGGCGGCCCGGUAAGUCUGGAGUGAAAGUCCUGUUUUUAAGAUGGGAAUUGCUUUGGAUACUGUCGGGCUUGAGUGCAGGAGAGGUAAGUGGAAUUCCCAGUGUAGCGGUGAAAUGCGUAGAGAUUGGGAGGAACACCAGUGGCGAAGGCGACUUACUGGACUGUAACUGACGCUGAGGCGCGAAAGUGUGGGGAGCAAACAGGAUUAGAUACCCUGGUAGUCCACACUGUAAACGAUGGACACCCGCGGUUUGGCCUAUAUGGCUGAGCCGCCGAGCGAAAGCGUUAAGUGUCCCACCUGGGGAGUACGCCGGCAACGGUGAAACUCAAAGGAAUUGACGGGG